GGCGGAGGGAUCAUUACCGAGUUUACAACUCCCAAACCCAAUGUGAACGUUACCAAACUGUUGCCUCGGCGGGAUCUCUGCCCCGGGUGCGUCGCAGCCCCGGACCAAGGCGCCCGCCGGAGGACCAACCAAAACUCUUAUUGUAUACCCCCUCGCGGGUUUUUUUAUAAUCUGAGCCUUCUCGGCGCCUCUCGUAGGCGUUUCGAAAAUGAAUCAAAACUUUCAACAACGGAUCUCUUGGUUCUGGCAUCGAUGAAGAACGCAGCGAAAUGCGAUAAGUAAUGUGAAUUGCAGAAUUCAGUGAAUCAUCGAAUCUUUGAACGCACAUUGCGCCCGCCAGUAUUCUGGCGGGCAUGCCUGUCCGAGCGUCAUUUCAACCCUCGAACCCCUCCGGGGGGUCGGCGUUGGGGAUCGGCCCUCCCUUAGCGGGUGGCCGUCUCCGAAAUACAGUGGCGGUCUCGCCGCAGCCUCUCCUGCGCAGUAGUUUGCACACUCGCAUCGGGAGCGCGGCGCGUCCACAGCCGUUAAACACCCAACUUCUGAAAUGUUGACCUCGGAUCAGGUAGGAAUU
rnacentral:misc_RNA from 1 species